GCAGGAGCCCUAGAWACUGGAGUCCUUUGUUCGCAAGCCAUACGCAGUGCAGCAAACAGCAAUAGCAGCAAUCCGUUUCCCUGUGAAUUGCAAACAAGCUUAACCCUGAGCUGGAAAGACCGUUCUCUGGAGAGGUGAAAGGAAAUUCAAUAUCUGAGCUAAGUGUGUUCUGACUUCC
rnacentral:sRNA from 1 species